ACGGGAAAAAUGAGACUACUACAGAGUACUGUCUACAUAUAAACCACCAUUUACAAAAUGCCAAAAUGCAACAUGAAUGUGAAAUGCAUCCUAGACUAGACUAUAUUAGCCAUCUAAAAUGGACUCGACAACAAGGAGUUGGGAUCAGGUGGAAGCGAAUACACCUGGAAGGAGCAUAAAUCAAUGACAUGUGGAGGAGGAAUCACUCCAUUCUAGCAUCACCAGAAAAAAUGACGAGAUCAAAAAUCCAGGGUGGAAAAGCAUAACAGAAGAGUAUGGAGGACGAACCGAUUAACUUCACUCAUUCCUUUGACCAAGAUCCAGUAGGCAAGAGGAAAGCUCCACUAGAGAGCACAUCUACAUAAGAAGAGAAAUCACAAGGAGGAAACACAGAACAAAGGACAAAGGAGGAGGAUGUAUACUUACUUUUGUGAGAUGAACAGCAAACAAUAUUUGAGAAUCAAUUCAAAGGCAUUGAUGACCAAAAUCAAGAGGAGGCGAAGGAGACGAAUAUGCCACGGAGGAAGCAUCUUCAGAAGGGUGGGGUUGGUGAGACUAGGGAAAGAGUUUUUCAGGAAACCCUACACUUAAGGAAAGUAUAAUAGUGCAG
rnacentral:lncRNA from 1 species